AUCCCAUGAUGAGGAUAGGAGGCCAUAUAUUCCUGUGGACGUUCCCAUGCUUUAGGAAUAGACUCAUCCCUUGUCUGCUGGAAACUGGAAAUUCGUCCAUGAAGGGC
rnacentral:snoRNA from 1 species